UACGGAGGAUGCAAGCGUUAUCCAGAAUGAUUGGGCGUAAAGCGUCCGCAGGUGGCUAUGUAAGUCUGCUGUUAAAGAGUGAGGCUCAACCUCAUAAGAGCAGUGGAAACUACAUGGCUAGAGUGCGUUCGGGGCAGAGGGAAUUCCUGGUGUAGCGGUGAAAUGCGUAGAUAUCAGGAAGAACACCGGUGGCGAAAGCGCUCUGCUAGGCCGCAACUGACACUGAGGGACGAAAGCUAGGGGAGCGAAUGGG
rnacentral:rRNA from 1 species